AAUGGAGAUGGGAAAAAUCCAUGAAAUUCCAACCCCAACCCCGUAGUCCUCACCCACAGGUGGAACACUCCAGCCCACUGGAAUUCCGCUCCUUUCCUUUGCCCCUCCCUGCUCCCUUAUUUGCACUGCCCUCAAAGCCUCCCUUUGCCCACCCCUCCCACCCCCGCCCCAGUCUCAAUGCCCUCACAUCAGUAAGAGAAGACUAAGGAGGACAAGAUAUUCCACCCAUACAUGAGGAAAUCCUGUAAGGUCAAGGAAAUCUAAGUCUGCAUUGCGGCUACAAAGGGUACAUCCAGUAUCAAUGGGUAAAAAUGCCCGAGAAGUAGAUUUUGGAUUGAGGUAGAACCUUCUAGCACAACCAGAGCUGUCAGGUGGAGGCAUGGCUCUUCUGGACACCUGCAGGCACAGAAUGGGGGAUGUGGCUGGCUUCUGAUGGGAGGGUUACUCGAGGAUCUGACGCAGCCUGAGGCCUCUCCCAGCACCAAUACUCUGGUGUUCUAGAAAAUCUUUCCUGAGUGCCUGUUUAGUGCUGGGAGAGAGGACAAUACCCUGCCUUGAGGAGCUUAGGCUUUUUAGCCGAGGAGCCAAGAUGCAUAAAAUAGCACAAAAAUGAUGACGAGCUGACACGGGGUUAACAGCAAUGCGCGUUACCCAGUCCAGUUCGGUGGUUCCAGCCUGCGGACUGUCUCCAGGGCUAAAGGCCGGAGACCCCACAGGUAUAGAAAGUGCUUCCGAGUCAGGAUUUUGGGGAGAGCUAUUGACUAGCAGCCACGGGAAGUUGGAAAUUGUCCCCAGCCUGCUGUACCCUGGAGGCAGCCAGGGUGGCUUGGGAAGGUCGGGAAGGUCGCUCCCAUCUGGGACUGGGGCUCUCGUGCUCUCUGAGGCUGGUUCAGAAGGCUCGGGGGAGAGGGAGUCUGCGCCGAGCCAGGUGGUGCGUGAGCUGGGGUCCGGGGUCCAAUGACAAGGCAUGCCCCACUGCUGGGCCUCAGUUUCCCCAGCUGUGAUGCAAGGCGGUUGGACUAGAUGCUUGCCAAGUCUCCUUCCAGCACCCGAUCCUCUGAUCCUCCCUGACAUCGACGCAUCUUUCCAGCGGUAGGGCCGCCUGCUGAGAGCCGGGAAACUACUCCGGGGGUGACACUGGCCGGAGGCUGAGUGUGGGCUGCAGCCCCUGCCCCCCGCCUCGCUCUGGGCAGGCUCUGGGGGCCCAGGCUAACCCGAGGCGCUGACUGGGGCGGGGAUCGCUGACUUUGGGGGUGCAUCCUGAAGCCCCCUCCCCUCCCCACCUCUCUGGGGGCCCUCGUACCCUGCAGGUGGGUGCAGGAGGGGACGCGGACUCAGGCUCCCGCCAGCUCCAGGCCCCCAGCCGGACAGCUCUCGGGGUGAGAACACAGGAGAGGGGUCUGUGCUUCUGCUCCCCCGAAGCCCCCCUUUCCCUCAUCGGGGAGCCUGGGAAGAAGAAGAAGAAGAGGCAGGCUCAGGCCUCAGCACCUUGUACCCACCACCUCCGGGAGGAGAGACCCCCCCAACCCCGGGAGUGCUCCUACUGCUCAACUCAAGGGACUCAGACCCUUUCUUGACUGAGACGCAUGAGUGCCUUCUGGGGCGAGAGCCACCCCAGGAUUCAAGUUGGGCCUGCCCAGCCCUGGCCACAGCGGGUCGCCAAGGACGCCAACCCAUGAAACCAACGCCACAGGCCACAGGCGGCCUGCCCGGGCAGGGGUGUGGGUGGGGGGCUCCUCCACUAGCCGGGACCCCCCCCACCUGGCGCCCCCUGGGCCCUCUGGCCCUGGCCAAGAACCAUGGCAGGACUCAAGCUCCUCUUCUGCAAAUGUCCCCAGCCUCCCUGCAAGUAUUCUCAACUCUUUACGCCUAAUGAACAAGCACAGUUUUUUCAAUGGUGAAAAAAAAAAAGCACCAGAUCUUUCUUUCUCUCAUUUUUUCUUUUCCUGAAGAAAUCCCUCAAACACUCCCCCCCCCCCCCCACCCGCCUGCUGGCGGGACAAACACUCCCCCCGUGGGGCUGUAGCAACGUCUGUCAGGUCCCCCUGUCGUGUUUCAUCUCCUGCGCGUAGAGCAAAUGCUAGAGCGAUUUCAGCUGAUAGAAAAACAAAAAUGAAAAAAAAAAAAA
rnacentral:lncRNA from 1 species